rnacentral:piRNA from 1 species
UUGAAGAUUGUCUUGGUGGCCUUCAACUGU